UACGUAGGGUGCGAGCGUUACUCGGAAUUACUGGGCGUAAAGCGUGCGCAGGCGGCGCGUUAAGACAGGUGUGAAAGCCCCGAGCUUAACUUGGGAAUUGCGCUUGUGACUGGCGUGCUGGAGUGUGGCAGAGGGAGGUGGAAUUCCACGUGUAGCAGUGAAAUGCGUAGAGAUGUGGAGGAACACCGAUGGCGAAGGCAGCCUCCUGGGCCAGCACUGACGCUGAGGCACGAAAGCGUGGGGAGCAAACAGG
rnacentral:rRNA from 1 species